rnacentral:rRNA from 1 species
CUAGCUGUAAACGAUGGAUACUAGGCGUUGAGAGUAUCGACCCUCUCAGUGUCGUAGCUAACGCGUUAAGUAUCCCGCCUGGGGAGUACGCGCGCAAGCGUGAAACUCAAAGGAAUUGACGGGGGCCCGCACAAGCGGUGGAGUAUGUGGUUUAAUUCGACGCAACGCGAAGAACCUUACCAGGGCUUGACAUGUCCGGAACCCUGCCCAAAGGCGGGGGUGCCUACGGGAACCGGAACACAGGUGGUGU